UGCUUGAAUUUGAAAAUUAAUGCAUUGAUAUGAAUGUUCUUCGGUGCUAAAAUGGCGCGUUCUGUCAACCAAUCAUGGUUUCUGUAAUUCUGAAGAAUAUUUGGAAAAACACAUUCAAUCAAUUCAUCUAUCGAUUUCGUAAUUGUACAAAAAUUGUUCGGUACAGUGAUCAAUCCGUUGGUUCUGUCGAUUUGUAUUUUGCCAUCACCAAUUUGUAACAAUUGUUCUGAAAACUCAUGGGCAGCUGGAUCAUUUUGUAGGAGUUGACCGAGGAAUGACAGGCAAUGUUUGUCGAAAAUCCCCUGGCUGUAAUAUCAAAGCAUCACCAAAAAGCUGUUGGUUAUCACGUAAAUCUUGCAUUGUUCGAUUAAAUGCUUCUAGUAAUUUUUUAUUCGCCAUUGUACACUCAUCCCAUAAAAUAAAUGACGUUAAUCGCAGAACUUUUGCCAUAGCAGAAUUUCUUGAAAUAUUGCAAGUUGGAGUUUCAAUCACCUGUAUAUUCAAUGGCAAUUUUAAUGCAGAGUGUGCUGUCCGACCACCUUCUAAUAAUGUAGCAGCAAUUCCCGAAGAUGCAAGUGCCAAUGUAAUUUUCAGUUCCGAUCGAAUAGUGGCUAAAAUCAGUGAUAUAACGAACGUUUUGCCUGUACCACCAGGUGCAUCCAAGAAAUAUAACCCACCUGCAUUAUUGGAAAUGGCUUGCAUGAUUGUGUCAUAGACAUGUUUUUGCUGAAUA